rnacentral:lncRNA from 1 species
GCAAGCGAAAAAACAAACUCACAGGGUCUCUUACGUAUUCGCAUAAGACGACUCUAAGGCGAAACCCAUUAUCUUCUUUUUCUUCUUAAUUGGUGUGUUGAUCCUCCCCUGCCCUCUUCCGAAAGCUUCCUGCACCUCACCUGGUUUUGCACUCCCUCCAGGAUCGGUCCACCUUUGACCAAGCAACGAUGCCAUUUGAUAGCAUCAUCAUGUGACAUCACAUUAUGUGAAGCCAUGAUGAUGUCAUGAUGACAUCAUACAGUAAUGUCAUCACAUGAUGAUGAUAUUUUGCAUCACUCGUGUUGACACUGCCGACGCGGGAUGCCAACAGUCAAUUUUCAUGCUUAAUGAGGCACCUGAGGAUUCUGCCUUAAAAGAAAUAUUCUCGUAGCUUCUAGUUGCAACUGCAGUGCCACCAUCUUUCUGAAGUUUUGAGGAGUGAUUCGCGACUGCAUAACUAACCAGUAGGUCUUUCACGCUCAUGCUGCUUGUUGCCGCAAAAUGUGGCCCAACGGCAUGUCGUGAUGCAAGGGAAUUGAACUCUCUAUGUGUUGCUAAAGUGAAUUGCUUUUUGUGCCAACAGAGUGACGGCCAUUCAAAAUGGCCUGCACGCAUUUCCUACUUGCGUAUUCUGCCACUUAAAUGCAAAUACGUAAGCGAAAGCGUAUAUUCUUUUUAUUCUGAUGGGAAUAAGGAUGCUGCAUUCUUACGUACAUAAUGCCGCUACGGACACUAUAUACAACUCACUAUUAACACCUUUAGUGCACCCAUACGACAUUGCCCCAUGUAAUACUGUAUUCGUCACAUGAUCUAGCAACGAGCGAAAGAGUGCGAGUACGUUCUUACGUUGUCAAAGCUGCAAAGGUUUUUUUAGUCGGACUUCUAAUGUUUCAUAACCUAUGUACAAGUUUGUUAUGGUAUAUUGGAAAAUGUUUAUGCAUACGUGCCAGAACUUAUUGUGCCUAGUCUCCUCGCCAUUCAAUGUUGUCACUGGUUUAUUGUUUUGUUUGUGGAAACUUCCUUACAACUGCCAUUUGUUUGUGCAUAAAAGUGCAGAUAUGUGUUUUCUUAGCAUGUUUUCUUACCUUCGUGUUGCACUUAUUGUGAGAAUAGCAACUUACCUGUGGAGAGACUGCAAGUGAAAGCUUUUGCAGUAAUUUUGCUGCAGGUUAACGCUGGAGGAGUUGAAUCUUUUGUGUGUGUCUGCGUCGAAGAACUGUGAAUGUGCUUGCAUUGAAGUCAACAUAUGUUUAAUUAAUUUUUCCUGUGUUAGCAUCUUUUAAACAUGAUAGACAACUAUGACAGACUUGCAGCAGUUCAAAGCAUCAGUUUCAUGGAUGCCUUUGAGCAAUGCUAAAUUCCUUUACAUUGGUAAAGUGGUAUUGAAAGAUUACAUUCAUUUGUUCACUGUAAAACUGUCAAUUAUUGCCGUAAAAGAUAUAGGCCGAAUGUUACUUUCUUAAAUUUCACACUGGAGUGCCAGCGCUAGUAUGUAUAUUGUCACGGGAUUUCGAAUCCUUUUCUUUUGCUUGGGCUGUCUAAAAAAAGAGAACACAUUAUUAAAACUUUCCUGGUCAAGUCUCUGGGUUUUCUGAUGUGCAGCUUUGGGUUUUCCGAAGUGCUAAGCAGAGUAAAUGGCGUCUAUAUCAUUUACGUCCGAGUGGCAACACUGAUAUAGGUGGUUCACAUCACACAUUAAAGUGCGCUGGCGUUUGGGUAUCUAUCUGUUACACCUUUCACCUUUUUUUAUGUUUGCAUUUUUUUUUUUUGCUUAGUAAAACUGAUCUUGGUAACAGUGGCUGUCUUACUGUUGUGCACGUUGUAUGCAGAUUUACAAAGCAUCCCUCAUUAAAGUCCUUUAACUUAAAGAAAUUGUGAAACAUUAGUUAGUCUGUUAUGCUUUGAAGUUAUUUAAAAAUGUUCAAACAUAAUUCAAGCAAGACUUUUGAUAUGACCUCACAGUUUUUGUAGUUUGCAUAGGUACAGUAAUGCAGCCAAAAUGACACUGAUGAGAGGACAUCCUUAAAUUAGGAAUUGAUGGAACGUGUCCACUUUGUAUAUUUAUGUGCAUGCCCACAGGUGCUGCUACGAAAUAGUCCUACUAACGUGAUUUGUAUUGAGGAAGCUUGACUUAUCAGCUUGCAAACUUGUUGAAGCUGUAUAUGCAUUUUGUCUACAUGUGUCGGAAUUUGCACUGGCGAGUUUCAUUGCAUGUUACUCUAUCUUCAAGUAUAUGUUCAUAGUUAAACCACAGAAUUUCUAAACAAAAAUGUGUAAAUGGAUCACACAUACCAAAGUGAAUCUGAAAUGCUUCUCACUGAUAUCAGCGUGCAACAAGCUUGUUCAGCGAAUAUCAAUGUAACAAAGUAUUUCUAUCAGAUGUGACUUCGUGAAUGAGAAUUGAAUUCCAUUCAAACAUAAAUAAAUCACUCAAAAUCGUGUCGGGCGUAAUUUUACUGUUACGUAUAAUAGAUUGUACAAUAUUAUGUGGGGCAUAACAUGAAGUUAGCGAAUACCAGCUAUACCUGAGAAUUUAGUGCCUUGUCUAAACAAUGCGCUUCUGUACAUUCCAGUUUAUAAGACGUAAUUGUGCAUCACCUUGUCCUGUUGAAUUCUGGGUGAAAUGCAUGAUCUGAAUUUUGGCUUAUCAUUUGUCACUUGCAGCAACUGUGAAAAUUGUAGAUUUGCCUGGCGUUUUUUUUGCUCAUUGAGCACAUAAUCUUUUGUGUUUAUUCCAAAAGGAUAUGAUUUGGAAGAUGUUAUUAGGUCCCUUCUUUGUCUCUACUGUGCCUGCCUGCGGAUACAUUUUUUAUGUGUUCUCAAUUUUUAAUAUGUGGUUCAUUGUGCUGACUGCAAUAAUUUUAUCAAAGUGCUCUGGCUUUCAGUGCUCUUGAGCCUUCAAAGUACUACUACUUAAUUUUGUUUUACACAAAUAUUUCUGUUGGUGUGUUUCCUGUGUCCACUUACAAAAAUACACACUUCAAAUUCAGGUAAUAUCUUCAGGAUAAUAUGUUCUUCGUCACUUUAGCUAUUUUUUUAACUAAUCAUGUAAUAAAUUGCAACGAACACUAAUACCUCCAAUUGGCCAUUUUCUACAUUGUGGAAUGUUUAUUGUUACAUUUCUGGAUGUCACAUUCAUUAUAAUGUACCCUAUAUUGUUAUUUAUGAAGCAAAGCCAUAACACGUUGAUUUGACAUUGAAAUAUGCAAGCAUCAACAAUGUGUUAUGUUAUUAUUACUAGAACCUGCAGCUUUCAUGAUGUUUCAAAGUACUACUUAUAAAUGUACAUGGUAUUGUUUUUUAACAAAAACGUUUUUGCUGGUGUGUUUUCUGCGUGAACUUAUAUAUGCUAUGCCACAAUUUUUCAAACACGUCUCUCCACAUUGUACGGUGGAAAUCCUUCUUUUAUCACAUGGCAGAUGUGACGCAUUGUUUUUUUAUUUGUAAGUUCUUACAGAAACAUCCAGAGUGAUGUCUUUUAUGUUUCACAUUAUUGUUUUCAAUGUGUUUUGCACUGUUAUUGUUCUGCAAGACCAUAAUAAAUAAAAUUUGCAUUUUACAGA